CGCGUAGGUGGCCUGAUAAGGGUGUGGUGAAAGUCCGGGGCUCAACCCCCGGAUCUGCCGUGCCGACUGUCAGGCUAGAGUACUGUAGGGGCAGGCGGAAUUCCGGGUGUAGCGGUGGAAUGCGUAGAGAUCCGGAGGAAGACCGGUGGCGAAGGCGGCCUGCUGGGCAGUUACUGACACUGAGGCGCGACAGCGUGGGGAGCAAACA
rnacentral:rRNA from 1 species